UAGACGAUGUCGAUUUGGAGGUUGUGCCCUUGAGGCGUGGCUUCCGGAGCUAACGCGUUAAGUCGACCGCCUGGGGAGUACGGCCGCAAGGUUAAAACUCAAAUGAAUUGACGGGGGCCCGCACAAGCGGUGGAGCAUGUGGUUUAAUUCGGUGCAACGCGAAGAACCUUACCUGGUCUUGACAUCCACAGAACUUCUAGAGAUGGAUUGGUGCCUUCGGGAACUGUGAGACAGGUGCUGCAUGGCUGUCGUCAGCUCGUGUUGUGAAAUGUUGGGUUAAGUCCCGCAACGAGCGCAACCCUUAUCCUUUGUUGCAAGCGGUUAGGCCGGGAACUCAAAGGAGACUGCCAGUGAUAAACUGGAGGAAGGUGGGGAUGACGUCAAGUCAUCAUGGCCCUUACGACCAGGGCUACACACGUGCUACAAUGGCGCAUACAAAGAGAAGCGACCUCGCGAGAGCAAGCGGACCUCAUAAAGUGCGUCGUAGUCCGGAUUGGAA
rnacentral:rRNA from 1 species